rnacentral:misc_RNA from 1 species
GUUUUUGUGUUUUGGCUUGUUUGGUUGCUGAGAAAGCGUGAGAAAAGAAAAAGACAAUUUUUAACUUUUACUGUACUUGGGGUUGGGGUUCCUUUCGUGGCAGCUAUUGAGUUUAAUUCAGUUCUUGGGUUGGAUUCCAUGUUGAGGUGGGUUUGGUUUUUCUGUUUCUUUUUGGAACUUCUGCGAAUUUUUUAUUUUUGCCGACGGGAAACUUAAACAUGAGAAUUGGUUUUCAUUUAAUUUCUGGUUCUCUUUACACACAGUUUUCUCAUCAACCAAACGUGGGUUAAGUAUGCGCAAGAAACCUUGAUGAGAAUAUAAUUUUUUUUUUU